CCCGUUCCAGGUUGAUUGAGGUUGCUUCCAUCGCGAACGGUCCCGGGCCUAACGAGGAUGGCCGAUUAUGGCGACUAAUCCUCCCAGGAAGCCGCCAGAUCAUGACACCGCCACGACCACCGAGUUCAACCACGUCAGCAGCACCGCAAGUAGCAGCUUACUGCUGAAGCAACGGCGCUCGACCUGUUCCUGUUCGAACAUUGCGAUUAUGCAACUGUUCCACGAGAUGAAGCAGAAGUUUCCAACCGUACCGGACCACGUGGUGUCGGACCUGGUGACGGCCAACUGUCACAACCGGCCGGCCUGCAUCGACAGUCUGGAGAAGGCCGUGGCGGGAACGCCGGCCACGGCCCAAGCCUACCCGUCGCAGGUCAUUCACAACACGAGCCUGAAGAGGCGCAUCAACGAGCGGAAGUUGCGGUCGAUGGAGCACAGCUUCAGCGGGGGCAGCAGCGGCAGCAGUAGUCGCGAGAGCAGCGUUGACAAGACGAGUAGCGGCUGCGGGAGCAGAUUCCACAAUAACAACAAUGCAUCGUCGUCGUCGUCGCCGGCGGUGACUGAAGUACCACGUGAUGGCAAUGUAAAUAACGCUGAUAACCAGCACCCUGCCUCAACGAUGACGACAUCGUCACCAGCCUUUGAUAACAACAGCAACCCACCGCCAAAUCGACCCAACACACUCGCGUUCAGUGGGCCGCGACCGACGCGAGUGGCACCACCAAUACCGCCCAUCAGUUCCACGAUAACCGCCAGUCCCGAGCUCGGCGAAACCGUCAACGUGCAGCUCAACGUAACCGUGUCGCCGGUCGCCAGCCGGAGUCCCCUCGGCCAACGCCACACCUCGGUCCUCCAGCUCCAACCCGAAUCCCCGUACUCCCGCGAACUCGCCCAAGCCUCAACCACCUUCAACGCCGCCACUGGCCCACUCCCACCCGGUGCCAACAGCCGGAGUUCAACCUCCGUCAAUCUGACCCUCCGUCAGCCCAGCGAAACGCCCCAAUCCCCCAUCCACAUUCACGCCAGCCCGCUCAAGUACACAGCGAAGGGUUUCAACGCGCAGUCCGGCAUCCAGAGCAAGCUCGAGAUCACCUUCCGGGACGGGUUCGGAUCGAUCAGUGCGAUGCGAACGCACGUGCCGGGUUUCGAGCAGCAGCAGCAGGGCGUUGCGGCGUUGGUGGCGGAUAAUCACCACUACCAGGAGCAGCAGAUGGCCGUGAACGCGGCCCAGCUGGAGAACGAUGGACUGGAGCGGGCGCAGCGGUACGAGAACUAUCUGACAGAGGUAGCCAUCACGCACCAGCUGGACCAGAAGAACCGACUGAGCGAGGAGGUGGACCGAUACCGGUACCAGCUCGAAUCAAUCAGGCGCGAGAUCCGCAUCCUGCAGCAUCCGCUGUGCCGUUCCGACGCCGACCAGUUGGGCCGCGAGGUUCAACUGCUCGAAGAGGAGGUUGACUUGAUGCAAAAGGAGGUCGACCAGCAGCAAGCCCAACUCAGUAUAGAAGGGUCACCAUCGCAACCAACGGGACCGUACGUGAACCGUCCGCCCCGUCCUCCGCGACCUCCGCCGCCCAAGUUCUCCACCAGCCACCAACCAUUACCUGCAGCUGCUGCGGUCGCACCGGCGGACGGUCGAUACCAGGGCGGUCGCUCGAUAUCGGCCCCGGCGCUGCCGCACGACCCCCAACAGCAGCAGCCACAUCCUGCAAUCGCCGGAGAGCAAUGGACUUGCAGCCUUUGUACAUUCCAGAACCACGAACUCAUGACCCGUUGCGAAGUGUGUUCGUUGCCCAAAAUGCCCGGUAGACUAUCGUCCCAGAGUUCGCUGCCUCCGGCGAGCUCAUCGUCGCCGCCGUCAUCUUCAUCACCUGCCGUAGUCGCUGCUGCACCUGCUUCGGCAUCACUGCUAGUCGCGGCUUCCGCUCCGGUGGCCACUGCCGUCGUGCUGCAAACGUCCGCCGCCGUUGGUUCUCCUUCCUCUUCUUCUUCCUCCUCCUCCUCCUCGUCGACGGCUUCGACCCCGCAAACGCAACCCGCUCCUCCGCCCAUCCAAAGUGCUCAGUUCCAAAAGUCGUCGAUCGAGUGUUGAAAAGAGAGGAAGAGGAAUCGAAGCGGGGGCAGGACGCGAUAACCACAAGCUUAAACGCAGAGUGUGCAAGAGUUGUGUGUGUGUGCGCGCGAUUUUGUAUUAAUCCACUGCUUUGGCGAAAAUCAGUUACCACGAAUCGACAGGAGAUUGAGGAUGUCCCCGUGCCGGCGUUGCUGUGACCCAAAUGAUUACGUUUUGCAUGAGGUAUUUAUGAUAUAACAACACAAUACAAACCAACUAAGUUCAGCUCAUUACAACGAAAGACAGUGUGGGUUUACAAAGCAAAUCAAAUUAUGCUCAGUAGUAACCUCAGGGCAGGACAUCCACAUCUACCUGUCGCCCGGUCAAAACAAAAUAAUUCACUCCUGGAUCGUUUCGUAGUUCCAUGGCUCCGGAGAUAUCCCGCUCUGUUAUGUAUACAACCCUGCCCUGCUGAGUUCCCCCGCCGUUCGACGUUGACGGAACGUCCGUGGUUCCGGAUAUGCGAAGAACCUAUAGCAUGAAGCAGAUUGAUUUUUUUUUGUUUAAUUUAUGCCUGUGCCCUCAGCUGAGAAUGAGUGGAUGACGAAUGCAAAUUAUCAGGAGAAACAGUUACCCAUUUAGUUGAAGGAAAAGAAUGUGUUAAAACUAUAAGGUGAGAAUGAUAGUGGAAA
rnacentral:misc_RNA from 1 species